ensembl:lncRNA
CUGCAUCUAUUUUAUAUGGAGAGUCUCAGGCCAGACCGGGUCCUAGACACCAUUCCUGCAUCUAUUUUAUAUGGAGAGUCUCAGGCCGGGUCCUAGACACCAUUCCUGAUCUGGCUGCAUCUGUUUUACAAAUUCAGCCUGUGGGCCGCCAGUUGGGGAACCCUGCACUAGGCAGUUCUGUGCCUGAAUUACUAAACUAGGCUCCCUGUAGCAUAAUUAUUUCCCUGUGGUCCUGUUGAGGUAGGAUGUGACAAACGUUGAUUUGGGUUUGACCAGACACACCCAAGGUGUAUGUAGCUGUAUGUUGGUGUGUUUGUGACUGUGAGUACAGGUGGUGCUAGCUGUAUGUUGGUGUGUUUGUGACUGUGAGUACAGGUGGUGCUAGCUGUAUGUUGGUGUGUUUGUGACUGUUAGUACAGGGUGGUGCUAGCUGUAUGUUGGUGUGUUUGGGUGUGAUUACAGGUGGUGCUAGCUGUAUGUUGGUGUGUUUGUGACUGUUAGUACAGGGUGGUGCUAGCUGUAUGUUGGUGUGUUUGUGACUGUGAGUACAGGUGGUGCUAGCCGUAUGUUGGUGUGUUUGUGACUGUGAGUACAGGGUGGUGCUAGCUGUAUGUCGGUGUGUGUUCUCCUCUGUUUGAAUAGUGGUCAAACAUGUAUGUGUUUUGAGUUGUGGUUUGACCGUGUGUGUGCGUGAUGUGUGCACAUACGGAGUAUACCAAACAUCAGGAACACCUUCCUAAUAUUGAGUUGCACCAGCCCCCUUUUUCCCUCAGAACAGCUUCAACUCGUCAGGUCAUGGACUCUACAAGGUGUCAACAGCGUUCCACAGGGAUGCUGGCCAUGUUGACUGCGUCCCACAGUUGUUAAGUUGGCUGAAUGUCCUUUGGGUGGUUAACCAUUCUUGAUACACGCGGGAAACUGUUGAGUGUGGGAUAAACCAGCAGUGUUGCAGUUCUUGCCAGAAACUCCUUAUUUAACCCGUCUCCUCCCCUUCAUCUACACUGACUGAAGUGGAUUUAACAAGUGACGUCAAUAGGGGAUCAUAUCUUUCACCUGGAUUCACCUGGUCAGUCUGUCAUGGAAAGAGCAUACUCUGUGAGUGUGUGUGUGUGUGUGUGUGUGUGUGUGUGUGUGUUUGACACUGUGAGUGUGCCGUUCAAGCAGGACAUGGUAUGUUUUCUCUCUCACCCUGCCGUGGAUGUGGACACUGUCUCUCUGCAAGGUUCCAGUUUAGUCAGUGAGCAGCGGGAGUUCUGCAACACCAGUCAAAGCAGGUUAUUUAUAGACCUCAGUAUUCAUUUAAGCAGAGGAGCAACAUUUACACCUCGUCUUAGAACGAUAGCCUGUAUGUACAUAUCGCUAUGUUUUUUCCCCCUCAUGUUCUCUCUUAAACACACACAAACACACACCCCCUCACCCUUCUUGCAUGCUAUCUCACCCUGCGUGUACAUUUUGUGUAAGGGAAGGGGAAAUGUAUAGUUUCCUGUCAGUGGUUUGGCCUUUAACACAGAUAACUGUAAUGUACUACAGCCUCUGUGUGCUACAGACUCUACAGCCUCUGUGUGCUACAGACUCUACAGCCUCUGUGUGCUACAGACUCUACAGCCUCUGUGUGCUACAGACUCUA